UACGGAGGGUGCAAGCGUUAAUCGGAAUUACUGGGCGUAAAGGGUGCGUAGGCGGUUGUUUAAGUCUGUUGUGAAAUCCCCGGGCUCAACCUGGGAAUGGCAAUGGAUACUGGGCAGCUAGAGUGUGUCAGAGGAUGGUGGAAUUCCCGGUGUAGCGGUGAAAUGCGUAGAUAUCUGGAGGAACACCGGUGGCGAAGGCGGCAUCCUGGACCGAACACUGACGCUGAGGAGCGAA
rnacentral:rRNA from 1 species